GAUGAACGCUGGCGGCGUGCUUAACACAUGCCAGUCGAACGGAAAGGCCCAAGCUUGCUUGGGUACUCGAGUGGCGAACGGGUGAGUAACACGUGGGUGAUCUGCCCUGCACUUCGGGAUAAGCCUGGGAAACUGGGUCUAAUACCGGAUAGGACCACAUUUUGGAUGGUGUGGUGGAAAGUUUUUCGGUGUGGGAUGAGCUCGCGGCCUAUCAGCUUGUUGGUGGGGUAAUGGCCUACCAAGGCGUCGACGGGUAGCCGGCCUGAGAGGGUGUACGGCCACAUUGGGACUGAGAUACGGCCCAGACUCCGACGGGAGGCAGCAGUGGGGAAUAUUGCACAAUGGGCGCAAGCCUGAUGCAGCGACGCCGCGUGGGGGAUGACGGCCUUCGGGUUGUAAACUCCUUUCGCUAGGGACGAAGCGUUAUGUGACGGUACCCGGAGAAGAAGCACCGGCUAACUACGUG
rnacentral:rRNA from 1 species